GAGGGGUCAGUUCAAUCGUUCUCCACCAAAAGAUGGACAGGAAACAGUGGGUUGGGGGCGGGGGCUGCUCUUC